rnacentral:rRNA from 1 species
UACGGGGGGGGCAAGCGUUGUUCGGAAUUACUGGGCGUAAAGGGCUCGUAGGCGGCCAACUAAGUCAGACGUGAAAUCCCUCGGCUUAACCGGGGAACUGCGUCUGAUACUGGAUGGCUUGAGUUUGGGAGAGGGAUGCGGAAUUCCAGGUGUAGCGGUGAAAUGCGUAGAUAUCUGGAGGAACACCGGUGGCGAAGGCGGCAUCCUGGACCAACACUGACGCUGAGUGAGCGAAAAGCGUGGGGAGCAAACAGGG